rnacentral:rRNA from 1 species
GACGAACGCUGGCGGCGUGCUUAACACAUGCAAGUCGAACGGAAAGGCCCUGCUUUUGCGGGGUGCUCGAGUGGCGAACGGGUGAGUAACACGUGAGUAACCUGCCCUUGACUUUGGGAUAACUUCAGGAAACUGGGGCUAAUACCGGAUAGGAGCUCCUGCUGCAUGGUGGGGGUUGGAAAGUUUCGGCGGUUGGGGAUGGACUCGCGGCUUAUCAGCUUGUUGGUGGGGUAGUGGCUUACCAAGGCUUUGACGGGUAGCCGGCCUGAGAGGGUGACCGGCCACAUUGGGACUGAGAUACGGCCCAGACUCCUCCGGGAGGCAGCAGUGGGGAAUAUUGCACAAUGGGCGGAAGCCUGAUGCAGCAACGCCGCGUGCGGGAUGACGGCCUUCGGGUUGUAAACCGCUUUCGCCUGUGACGAAGCGUGAGUGACGGUAAUGGGUAAAGAAGCACCGGCUAACUACGUG